rnacentral:lncRNA from 1 species
CAUUUACCGAAAGCAGUCCCCUAUGGUUCAACUUCUCGUUCAUUCUCACCCGGCCUGAAUUCGGCAUCUAUAAAAUGGGGGUGAUCCUGUCUCACAGGGUCAUUGGAAGGAGAGUUUUCUACUGGGUCUCUGGAACAAGCUUCGCUCAACCAAAACAGGCUGCCUUUCACGGUCCCACGCAGCCGGGCAUGGAACAGGCAGCCACUGUGUUCCUGAAAUGAGACCAGCAUCUGCCUUUGAUCUGGGCUCUACACACAGCAUGGACAAUGUGUGAGGACGGAUGGACGUGGCCAGGGGCCACCUGUCUCUGCAUCUUGGGUCAUUCAGAGCUCCGGGCCAGGUCAUUGUGAAGAGCUCCACUUCUCUGUAGGCUAUUAUGGUGAAAAGGAGUUUAGCAGACAAGGGCUCAGGACACGCCCCUUCUGUGCCUAGGCAGAGUGUGAUGUCAUCAGCAAAGCCAGCAUGUAUGUUGGGGUCAGAGGACAGGGUGUCAACUCUCACCUCUUCACCUUGUUUGAGACCGUCUCUCUGCCGGUGUGUGUGCUAGGCUACUGAGGAUUGCCCUGUGUCUGAUUCCGGUUCCUCAGUAGGGAUUACAUAUGUCUGCACGGUUGCAUCUACCGUGGGCUUUGGGGGUCUGAACUCCAGCUGUCAGGCUUACAUGUCAAUCACUUUGUCUCCUGAACCAUCUCCCCCGCCCCAUACUCCUCACCCUUGCUUUGAUGGUCAUCAAGCCCUUGGUAGUGGUCACGUGACUCCAAGUCCUAGUCUCUUUGCAGUAGGGUUCUCCCUUCCGUUGAAUGCACUGCGUGGAUUUUCCCUGUUUUCCCGCGGUUGGACUCCAGGGCCUUGUGCAUAAGAGGCAAGCACUCCAACUCCGAGACACUGCCCUCGAUGGCUGGCUCUGAAUCAGAUCGAUAACCAAAUACAGGCAUCCCCAUCUCUAAAAACCUUCUGAGAUUGCAUCGGAGAGAAUGGAAGGCGCCUCCGUAGUUUAAACAGAAGGAGUUUUGCCUAGCAAAGGAGCAUUAGCAGCCCUCAAACCUUCGAGACGGGAGAAGCAGGCUGUGAGCUGAGCCUUAGGGAAAACCUCCAGUCCCCAGAAUCCUUCUGGGUCCCCUCCACCGUUACCAAGGAAACCAACAAAUUGGGAAGCUCCUUAAGCAUACCAAGCCAGUAAAAAGAGAAGCGCGCACCCCAUUUCUCUUCCUAUUUAAACUCUUUCCAAGCCCAGUCCUGUUCGCGUGACUCUGGUUGGGGAAGACUGAAUCGCAUCUGAAAGUCUUCCUUGCAAGAGGGUUAUAGGGAAAUUGGUUUUCUUUUCCUGGCUUCUUAGUAUAAAAAGGCACGCGUGAAGGAGGUUGGAAUAAAUGUUG